rnacentral:rRNA from 1 species
UACGUAGGAGGCAGGCGUUAUCCGGAAUGACUGGGCGUAAAGGGUGCGUAGGUGGUUUGGCAAGUUAGUAGCGUAACUCCGGAGCUCAACUUCGGAACUACUACUAAAACUGUCGGACUUGAGUGCAGGAGGGGCAACUGGAAUUCCUAGUGUAGCGGUGGAAUGCGUAGAUAUUAGGAGGAACACCAGUGGCGAAGGCGAGUUGCUGGACUGUAACUGACACUGAGGCACGAAAGCGUGGGGAGCAAACAGG